rnacentral:rRNA from 1 species
UACGUAGGCAGCAAGCGUUGUUCGGAGUUACUGGGCGUAAAGGGUGCGUAGGUGGCUCUAUAAGUAUGGUGUGAAAUCUCCCGGCUUAACUGGGAGGGUGCGCCGUAGACUGUGGGGCUAGAGUGUGGGAAGAGGAAAGUGGAAUUCCUGGUGUAGCGGUGAAAUGCGUAGAUAUCAGGAGGAACACCGGUGGUGUAAACGGCUUUCUGGACCAUAACUGACACUGAGGCACGAAAGCGUGGGUAGCAAACAGG